rnacentral:misc_RNA from 1 species
AAGGAUCAUUACCACAUCAAAACUGUCUGGGGGACGCACUGCUGUGAUGUUUUACAAUGUUUUACAUAACGAAACUCAUAGAUCACGUCCCUGUCUGGACCCUUGUUUUUGCGUACUAUUUGUUUCCUUGGUGGGCUUUGCCUGCCAAAAGGACACCAUAUAACCCUUUGUAAUUGCAAUCAGCGUCAGAAAAACAUAAUAGUUACAACUUUCAACAACGGAUCUCUUGGUUCUG